rnacentral:lncRNA from 1 species
CUGAUUCAUCUUCAUAAGUCCAAAUUCUUGCCUAGUCAAUAUCUAAUAAAUCCAUCAGAAAAUAAGUACAGUUUACAUUGUUUUCAUUGAACCAUAAUUAUAAUUGUAAAGAGUAUAUUCCAAUGCCAUGAAUGAAAAACAUAUAAUAUAUUCAAAUAUUAGUGGGUGACAUCAGGAUCACAACCCCACCAAUAUUACAAAUUACUCAAAUGAGCAAAAAUUAAGUAGCAACUGCAUAAUAAUUUGUAUCUAUACAUAGAUUUUUAAAAGGAAUAUGAACCUGAUAUAUAAAAUGUAAUAAGCGUAAAAUUUCUUACUAGUGUUAAAAUAUGACAAAUUAAU